rnacentral:rRNA from 1 species
AACGAGAGCUUUAGCUUUAGUGGCGAACGGGUGAGUAACACGUAAGAAUCUACCUUUAGGAGGGAAAUAACAAUUGGAAACGAUUGCUAAUGUCCCAUAUGCUGAAGAGUAAAAUAAUUUUUUGCCUAAAGAUGAGCUUGCGCCUGAUUAGCUAGUUGGUAGGGUAAUGGCCUACCAAGGCUACGAUCAGUAGCUGGUUUGAGAGGAUGAUCAGCCACACUGGAACUGAGACACGGUCCAGACUUCUACGGAAGGCAGCAGUGGGGAAUUUUCCGCAAUGGGCGAAAGCCUGACGGAGCAAUACCGCGUGAAGGAUGAAUGCCUGUGGGUUGUAAACUUCUUUUAUUAGGGAAGAAUAAUGACGGUACCUAAUGAAUAAGCAUCGGCUAACUCCGUGCCAGCAGCCGCGGUAAUACGGGGGAUGCAAGCGUUAUCCGGAAUUAUUGGGCGUAAAGAGUCUGUAGGUUGUUUAGUAAGUCUGCUGUUAAAUAUUAGAGCUCAACUCUAAACAAGCAGUGGAAACUACUAGGCUAGAGUAUGGUAGAGGCAAAGGGAAUUCCCAGUGUAGCGGUGAAAUGCGUAGAUAUUGGGAAGAACACCAGAAGCGAAGGCGCUUUGCUGGGCCAUUACUGACACUCAGAGACGAAAGCUAGGGGAGCAAAUGGGAUUAGAUACCCCAGUAGUCCUAGCCGUAAACGAUGGAUACUAGAUGUUGCGCGUAUCGAUCCGUGCAGUAUCGUAGCUAACGCGUUAAGUAUCCCGCCUGGGAAGUACGCUCGCAAGAGUGAAACUCAAAGGAAUUGACGG